GCCGACUUAGCUCAGUAGGUAGAGCAACUGACUUGUAAUCAGUAGGUCACCAGUUCAAUUACGGUAGUCGGCACCA
rnacentral:tRNA from 1 species